UUCAUACUUCUUGUACUGUUCUUUUUAGACAAGCCGCCGCUGUCUGCGGGAACUUUGCACAAAAUGACAAUAGCACAAAUGAAGCUAACAAGUUCGAAAAAAGCAAGCACA
rnacentral:ribozyme from 1 species